AGCAAAAAUGGUAACAUUAAUUACAUGCUUCAAAGAAGUGACAGAAAUAAGCAAGCACACACACACGCAGUGAAUGACCAAGCUCCUGAUUGAUUGAGCGUCAGUUAUUCCACUGGAAUUUGAGAUACUUCACCUUUAAACUUUCGUCUUGUUACAGAGUGUCCCAAGAAUGUCAUUUGCCCUGCUAUGGUUUGUCCUGGAGGUUUCAAAUACGUAAAGGACAAAAAUGGCUGCAAGACGUGCACCUGUCCAAAAGUGUUCCCCAUGCCAUGAGUUCUUUGACAUACAGACUGUGUUGAAAAACAGAUCUUAAUCUGUGGUGUACAUUAGUGAACAAUAAAAUAUUCCUCGUG